CUGAAGAGGAAAUAUCUAUUUCUCAAGAUGCAUUACACGUGACCGAUCUUUUAGACUUACCCUCAAGGACACAAGUAACAGUCCGGAAACAGAAACCGUCUGAAGAGGAAAUAUCUAUUUAUCAAGAUGCAUUACAAGUGACUGAUCUUUUAGACUUACCCUCAAGGACC